CUGUGACCCGGAGGCGUUGGGGCUGUCCUGGGCCGUCACAUGCGAGAAAUUGUCUCACCCCAGCCAGUGUGAGGGAGUGAGAGAAAGUUUUGAUAGCAGCGUACGAUUUAUAUUCAGCUGUAUGCUGGGCAGGUUACCUAACAACUCAGUGACUCAGUUUCCUUAUCCAUAAAGGGUAAUGAUAGCAUCUACCGCGCAGUGUGGUCGUGAAGCGUAAAUGAAACUCAGAUUAAAUAGGUAGAACAGUGCCUGGCACAUACAGCGUGUUCAGACCAACUUGGCAUUUCUUGGCUGUAUCUCUGAAGGAAAGUCAUCUUAAUCUCUAUGGGCCUCCAUUUCCUCAGCUGUAAAAUGGGAAGAUCUUCCUCACACUGCCGUGAGGAAGUGGAUUUUCUGACGCAUAUGAAGAGUGAGAACUGUCUACAUCUAAGUCUUCUUUGAGAACAAUACCAGCUGAGCAGCUAUUUACAUUCCAGCUUCUUUUGAGAAUCCCUGAAGAUGAUUAAGUCAUUGUCAGCUGGCCCAGAAUCAUAUCCUGCUCCACGAGGCUCGUCCUUGGCAAGAAGUUGCACCUGCCCAGAGAGAAAACCUUUUGAAACUGGCACAAAGGCAAUGGAGAGACUGGCAGGGCCCCCUACUUGACGAUCUGGCUCAUCCAUCUGCACACUGACCACGCUAAGAGCUGUCUGCAGUGAUGGAAACUUUCUCUAGCUGUGCUGUCCUCUAUAGUGGCACUAGCCGCCUGUGGCUACUGAGCACUUCACUGUGGCGGCAGAGACUAUGUUAAAUUGUAUUUAAUCAUAAUUAAUUUAAUUGUAAACAACCACAUGUGGCUAGUGGUUUCUGUACUGGGCACUGCAGGUGCACAUUUCCUACCUGGCCGUGGACAGUAAGCUCCAUAAUAGGCUGAUUGUGCCUGGUUUGCUUAUAGGCUUAUCCUCAGCACCUGCACCAGCCUAGAAUAUGAUUGGCACUCUAUUAAUUAAAAGUUCCCAGGUAAAUGAAUUAGUGGAUUCUCUGUUUCCUCCAUUAUGCCACAACCUCCUUCAGGGCAGAGAUGGUGUCUUCAAAAAAAAAAACUCUGGUCAAAAACACAUAAGAUCUACCACCUUCAUCAUUGUUGUGUCCAGUUCAGUAGUAUUAACUACACUCACAUUGUGAUACAACAAAAGUUUGUGUCUUUUUACAUUCUUAGGACCCAGCACAGUGUCUGGCAUAUAAUCUUA